UGAGCAAUCUGCCCUUCUCUUCGGAAUAAGCGUUGGAAACGACGUCUAAUGCCGAAUACGACCUCCUUUCGCAUGAUCGGAGGUGGAAAGCUCCGGCGGAGAAGGAUGAGCUCGCGGCCUAUCAACUAGUUGGUGUGGGUAAUGGCCCACCAAGGCGACGACGGGUAGCCGGCUGAGAGGGUGACCGGCCACACUGGGACUGAGACACGGCCCAGACUCCGUACGGGAGCAGCAGG
rnacentral:rRNA from 1 species